AACAGGAUUAGAUACCCUGGUAGUCCAUGCCGUAAACGUUGGGCACUAGGUGUGGGGAACAUUCCACGUUUUCCGCGCCGUAGCUAACGCAUUAAGUGCCCCGCCUGGGGAGUACGGCCGCAAGGCUAAAACUCAAAGGAAUUGACGGGGGCCCGCACAAGCGGCGGAGCAUGCGGAUUAAUUCGAUGCAACGCGAAGAACCUUACCAAGGCUUGACAUGUUCCAGACCGCCUCAGAGAUGGGGUUUCCCUUCGGGGCUGGUUCACAGGUGGUGCAUGGUUGUCGUCAGCUCGUGUCGUGAGAUGUUGGGUUAAGUCCCGCAACGAGCGCAACCCUCGUUCCAUGUUGCCAGCACGUAAAGGUGGGGACUCAUGGGAGACUGCCGGGGUCAACUCGGAGGAAGGUGGGGAUGACGUCAAAUCAUCAUGCCCCUUGUGUCUUGGGCUUCACGCAUGCUACAAUGGCCGGUACAAUGGGUUGCGAUACUGUGAGGUGGAGCUAAUCCCUAAAAGCCGGUCUCAGUUCGGAUUGGGGUCUGCAACUCGACCCCAUGAAGUCGGAGUCGCUAGUAAUCGCAGAUCAGCAACGCUGCGGUGAAUACGUUCCCGGGCCUUGUACACACCGCCCGUCAAGUCACGAAAGUUGGUAACACCCGAAGCCGAUGGCCUAACCACCUUGUGUGGAGGGAGUCGUCGAAGGUGGGACUGGCGAUUGGGACUAAGUCGUAACAAGGUAACC
rnacentral:rRNA from 1 species